UAACUUGCUUCUUUCUUCAAAAGAAAAUCUUCGCGUUGUCAAUUUUUUUGAUUUUGCAUCAAGAGCUUCACCUCAAUUUCAACUCUCCACCACCACCAUUAUUGCAUGUGCAAAUUUCUACAUGUUGCAGCAGCUCCACCUUCAACCAAAUUCAUCAAGAUCAUCUCGUGCUCUGAUACCAACUUGUUGUAUACCGCGAAAGCGUGUAAACUGCAAAGAAAUA
rnacentral:misc_RNA from 1 species